GAGAGAGAGAGAGAGAGAGAGAGAGAGAGAGAGAGAGAGAAACUAAAAUAUAAAAAAAGAGAGAAAUAGGAAGAGAUGAAAAAAAUAAUAAAUAAAUAAAAAAAGGUCACAAACAUCGCCAAUCCAAAGUUAAACAAAAUUUCUCGACGGCAAAAUCUUUAUUAUAAUUAUCCUCGUCAUCAUCAUCAUCAUCACCAUCAUCAUUAUUAUUAUUACUAUUACCAAGAAGUCGCUAGUGAAUAAUGAAUGCGGAGGAGUGGAUGGGUGGAGGCAUGCACUUGGAACCUUAUAAAAAACGUUAAACUUCCAGGUAGGACUCAAGAAAAACUGUCCAUAUUCUUAUACGUCUUGUCGGGCUCCCAAUGCGACUGUUUCCCAAGACCCCAGAGAUGAUUAGCCGGGUUUUCAUGGGUGGUUUUCCUGUCCAAGAUGUAGAAGUUGUGUAAAACUGCCAUUGAGAUAACCAAACAGUCCAUGAAAACUCGGCCACUAACAAGACGAACUGGGUUUUCAUGGGUGGUUUUCCUGUUUGUGGUCCAGAAGUCACGUAAAACUGUAACUGAGAUAACCAAACACUCCAUGAAAACUCGGCCACUAACAAGAUGAACCAGGUUUUCAUGGGUGGUUUUCCUGUCUGUGGUCCGGAAGUCAUGUAAAACUUUCACUGAGAUAACCAAACACUCCAUGAAAACUCGGGCACUAACAAGACGAACCGGGUUUUCAUGGGUGGUUUUCCUGUCUGUGGCCCAGAAGUCAUGUAAAACUUUCACUGAGAUAACCAAACACUCCAUGAAAACCCAGCAACAACUUCCACCGUGAGAGGCUAUGCAAACAGGCGAACUGGGGCGCCAAGACAUUUAAGAAUCUGGAACUCCUGCACUCACUCCUCUCUCGCUUAAUUAUGUGCAGCUCCCCGACAGACCUUACAAAAAUAACACUAAUGAUGUCUGAGGGGAAGGGGGAAGGGAGACAGAAGUGAAGGGAAAAGACAGGAUGAGGGAAGGAGGGAAAGGAUAGGAGGAGAAGGAGAAUGAAAAGAUGGGGAGAUGAGGGAAAGGAGAGAUAGAAAGAAUGGACGGGAAGGGGAAGGAAGAAUGGAAAGGAUGAAUAAAAAGAUGGGAAGGGAAGGAAGGGAAGGGGAAGAAUGGAAAGGGUGAAUAAAGAGAAGGGAAAGGAAGGGAAGGGAAAAGGGAGGAAACAAAGAGAAGGAAGGAAAUGGAAUGUGAGGAAAGAGGAAAGAAGGGAAGGAAGGAAGGGAAAGAAAAGAAGGGAAGGAAAGAAAAAGAAUGCAGGACAGGAACAACACCAAUAAUAAUAAUAAUAAUAAUAAUAAUAAUAAUAAUAAUAAUAGCAUAUCUUACAUUAGAAAAAUAACACUAAAUUUCUAUUGGGAUGGCAAGGGAAGGGAAGAGGAGAGAAGGGAAGGGGAGGGAAAGAGAGGGAAGGGAAGAGGAGAGGAGAGAAGGGGAGGGAAGGGAAGAGGAGAGAAGGGAAGGGAAGAGGAGAGAAGGGAAGGGAAGGGAAGGGGAGGGAAGGGGAGAGAAUGAAAUGGAAGGGGAGAGAAAGGAAGGAGAGAAUGAAAUGGAAGGGGAGGGGAGGGGAAGGGAAGGGAAGGGAAAUGAAGGGAAGGGGAAGGAAAGGAAGGGAAAUUAGGGAAGGGAAGGGAAAGAAAGGGAAUAAAAUAAUGUUACAAAUUUACUAAUUAGAAAAAUAUAACUUAGAUCUUACAGAGAGAGAGAGAGAGAGAGAGAGAGAGAGAGAGAGAGAGAGAGCGCCUAGAAUGUCUGUGUGAUUAGA